rnacentral:rRNA from 1 species
UACAGAGGUGGCAAGCGUUGUUCGGAAUUACUGGGCGUAAAGGGCGCGUAGGCGGCCUUCUAAGUCAGACGUGAAAUCCCCCGGCUUAACCUGGGAACUGCGUCUGAUACUGGGAGGCUCGAGUAUGGGAGAGGGAUGUAGAAUUCCAGGUGUAGCGGUGAAAUGCGUAGAUAUCUGGAGGAAUACCGGUGGCGAAGGCGGCAUCCUGGACCAUCACUGACGCUGAGGCGCGAAAGCUAGGGGAGCAAACGGGG